rnacentral:rRNA from 1 species
UACGUAGGGUGCAAGCGUUAAUCGGAAUUACUGGGCGUAAAGCGUGCGCAGGCGGUGAUGUAAGACAGAUGUGAAAUCCCCGGGCUCAACCUGGGAACUGCAUUUGUGACUGCAUCGCUGGAGUACGGCAGAGGGGGGUGGAAUUCCGCGUGUAGCAGUGAAAUGCGUAGAUAUGCGGAGGAACACCGAUGGCGAAGGCAACCCCCUGGGCCUGUACUGACGCUCAUGCACGAAAGCGUGGGGAGCAAACAGG